GGACCCGCACAAGUAGUGGAGCAUGUGGUUUAAUUCGAAGAUACGCGCAGAACCUUACCAACACUUGACAUGUUCGUCGCGACUUUAAGAGAUUAAAGUUUUCGGUUCGGCCGGACGAAACACAGGUGCUGCAUGGCUGUCGUCAGCUCGUGUCGUGAGAUGUUCGGUUAAGUCCGGCAACGAGCGCAACCCACAUCCCUAGUUGCCAGCAGUUCGGCUGGGCACUCUAUGGAAACUGCCCGUGAUAAGCGGGAGGAAGGUGUGGAUGACGUCAAGUCCUCAUGGCCCUUACGGGUUGGGCUACACACGUGCUACAAUGGUGGUGACAAUGGGUUAAUCCCAAAAAGCCAUCUCAGUUCGGAUUGGAGUCUGCAACUCGACUCCAUG
rnacentral:rRNA from 1 species